GACAGAGGUGCCAAGCGUUAGGCGGAAUCACUGGGCUUAAAGCGUGUGUAGGCGGUCUUUUAAGUCGGGGGUGAAAUCCCGAGGCUCAACCUCGGAACUGCCCUCGAUACUGGCGAUCUUGAGUCCGGGAGAGGUGAGUGGAACUCCGAGUGUAGAGGUGAAAUUCGUAGAUAUUCGGAAGAACACCAGUGGCGAAGGCGGCUCACUGGCCCGGUACUGACGCUGAGAUACGAAAGCGUGGGGAGCAAACAGG
rnacentral:rRNA from 1 species